rnacentral:lncRNA from 1 species
AUCGGACAAUUCAGGUUCCUAUGAAGUUUGUUCUGAAAUGGGGUGGUUGGUGUAUUGUGUUCUAGAGAUUGGAUUUCAAUCAAAACCCACCAAAUGACUCCUCCCACAAUAUUAUGAUGUUCCCCAAGUUUUGGACUCAAUCCGAUAUCGAUUGGUCCUUGAAAUCGGACAAUUCAGGUUCGUACGAAGUUCGUUCUAAAAUGGGGUGGUUGGUGUAUUGUAUAGUUCUAGAGAUUGGAUUUCACUCAAAACCCACCAAAUGACUCCUCCCCGAAUAUUAUGGUGUUCCCAAAGUUUUGGACUCAAUCCGAUAUCGAUCGGUCCAUGAAAUUUGACUAUUCAGGUUCGUUCGAAGUUCGUUCUGAAAUGGAGUGGUUGGUGUAUUGUAUAGUUCUAGAGCUUGGAUUUCACUCAAAACCCCCCAAAUGACUCCUCCCCCAAUAUUGUGAUGUUCCCCAAGUUUUGGACUCAAUCCGAUAUCGAUUGGUCCUUGAAAUCGGACAAUUCAGGUUCGUACGAAGUUCGUUCUAAAAUGGGGUGGUUGGUGUAUUGUAUAGUUCUAGAGAUUGGAUUUCACUCAAAACCCACCAAAUGACUCCUCCCAAAAUAUUAUGAUUUUCCCCAAGUUUUGGACUCAAUCCGAUAUCGAUUGGUCCUUGAAAUCGGACAAUUCAGGUUCGUACGAAGUUCGUUCGAAAUGG